rnacentral:rRNA from 1 species
UUAUUGGGCGUAAGGGCUCGUAGGUGGUUGAUCGCGUCGGAAGUGUAAUCUUGGGGCUUAACCCUGAGCGUGCUUUCGAUACGGGUUGACUUGAGGAAGGUAGGGGAGAAUGGAAUUCCUGGUGGAGCGGUGGAAUGCGCAGAUAUCAGGAGGAACACCAGUGGCGAAGGCGGUUCUCUGGGCCUUUCCUGACGCUGAGGAGCGAAAGCGUGGGGAGCGAACAGGCUUAGAUACCCUGGUAGUCCACGCUGUAAACGGUGGGUACUAGGUGUGGGGUCCAUUCCACGGGUUCCGUGCCGUAGCUAACGCUUUAAGUACCCCGCCUGGGGAGUACGGCCGCAAGGCUAAAACUCAAAGGAAUUGACGGGGCCCCGCACAAGCGGCGGAGCAUGCGGAUUAAUUCGAUGCAACGCGUAGAACCUUACCUGGGUUUGACAUGGAUCGGGAGUGCUCAGAGAUGGGUGUGCCUCUUUUGGGGUCGGUUCACAGGUGGUGCAUGGCUGUCGUCAGCUCGUGUCGUGAGAUGUUGGGUUAAGUCCCGCAACGAGCGCAACCCUUGUUCACUGUUGCCAGCACGUUAUGGUGGGGACUCAGUGGAGACCGCCGGGGUCAACUCGGAGGAAGGUGGGGAUGACGUCAAGUCAUCAUGCCCCUUAUGUCCAGGGCUUCACGCAUGCUACAAUGGCUGGUACAGAGAGUGGCGAGCCUGUGAGGGUGAGCGAAUCUCGGAAAGCCGGUCUCAGUUCGGAUUGGGGUCUGCAACUCGACCUCAUGAAGUCGGAGUCGCUAGUAAUCGCAGAUCAGCAACGCUGCGGUGAAUACGUUCCCGGGGCUUGUACACACCGCCCGUCAAGUCAUGAAAGUUGGUAACACCCGAAGCCGGUGGCCUAACCGUUGUGGGGG